AACGAUGGAGGAGGAGGAGGAGCGGGAGGCCCGGGCCCAGGCCUGCGGUUGGGAGAAGCUAUGCCAAGAAUGUAAACCAUCCGCCGGACGCUGCGCUCGCUCCUGUUGCUGCUGCCGCCGCCUCCUCCCCUCGGUCCCUGGGCCCGGCAGCGGCCGCGCCGAACGCAGGCCCGCCAAGGGGAAGCAUGUCCGAGGAGGUGGCGUCGGUGGCUGCCGGGGUUCCCGGGUCGUGGGCUCCCACGCGGCACCGUCGGGGCUGGGCGUCCCCGAAGCCUCAGAGUCGGCACUGGGCCGCCUGGAUCCAGGGCCACCGAAGAGCUUGCGCAUCUCGGUGACGCUGGGCCAGGCCCCGCGCGCGGCUCCCUCCGCCGCUUCUUCCGCGGCCCCGGGGGAAACGCCCCCGUCUCGGGCCCCAGUGGCGUUGUCGUCCAGAUGCUGCGCGUCGAAGCGCCUGGAGAGCUGGCGCACCGACGGCGAGAGGCUACGGAGCGGGCGCGGCUGCGCGGGGGCGGCCGGGGGCCCAGACGCCAGCUUGGACACGCGCCGGGAGGGCUGGCCCGGGACGUCCGAGGCCGGCCGGCACGAAGCGCGGCGCCGCAGCCCGGAGGUGUCCGUUGCCUCCUCCCUUGGCCCUGGCCCGCCGCUCCAGCGCUCUAGCAGCUUGAACGAGACGCUGCGAUAAAGCUGGGGCCGGGGCGCCCCGUCCGCCAUGGUGGCGGCACUCACUCUGGGGGGGCUGGCCUCGGGGAGCCGCGGCCAACCCCCCCUGCGCCCCCGCCCCAAAGGAGCGCAGCGGCUGGGGUCCGAAGGCCUGGGUCCCGCAGCCGCAGUGCGAGGCGGUUAGCGGGGAAAGGGUGCAGGGACCGGAGCACAGGUUUAUCUGCUGCGGCUCAAGUUUCUGCGCCCGCGGGCCGCAUCGGCUCCAUCCCGCGCGACCCCUCCCGCCUCAGAGUCGACUCCCGGGCCCAGCCCCCGCCUCUCCCGGUGCGACCCGGAGCAUCGCGGCCCGACCCGGCGUACAGUCGGGUUGGCGCACCCUCUGCAUUCGGGCGGAAAUGCCUCCUGCCCAAGGGACCCCAACAUGGCAACCUCGUACCCAAAAACUGUCGUACACAACACCGACACUCAGGUCUCUGGGGUACGCGGCUCCAGCGCCGUCUACCGGCCGGAUUCGCCCACCCCCGUGGAGCCUUGGACGACUAAAGCUGCACCCGCCACAGAAAAAAAAAAACAAACCCGGAGAGUUGGGACGACUUCACUUCCUUUACUUCCUUCUAGUCGUUAACUAGUCCCUUCAGGAGCCGUUUCAAACCUCUUCCCUUCGCAAAAUGCACUGCCCUUCCUUCGACUUCACACACAAAAGGCGCUUUGACGGGAACGCCCUCGAUUUACCACUGCCAAACCUACACUCCUACCUGACUCCCAUCCGCCCUCCUGUCAGGCAAGGUGUGGGUGGCUUCUACCGCUUCACACCACCCUUGGAGGUAGAUCUUAUUGCCCCUUCUCUGUGGGUCAUGAAGAACUUUGACCAGUGUCAAAGUCAGGAAAUGGCAGCUCCUGGUAUGACUCAAAUUCAGAUUUCAGGAGCUUUAAACACCAUGCUCCUCCAGAGAGCCUGUGCUGGUUCCAGAUCCCUGAUGAGCCCCCAGCAAUAUCCUCCUCCUCCCUGGGCCUGGGAUCAGCCUCCCCAGGAACAGCGGACACUCAUGUUACCCUUAGCCCAAGAGGACUGUGGCUGGGCCCCAUUAGCUAGGAGGCCCUGGGAGCAGGAGGCCCUGGUCCAGAUGAACAGGCAGGGCUGGGUGCAGGGCAGGAAGGUAGACACUCAGGGAUUGCCUGACUACCGCAUGAGACACGGAGGACUCAGCGAGAACCCCAGGGCCCUGCUUGCUGCUUCCCUUGGGUUGUGGGAAAUAACUGUAGGGAGAAAGCUCUUCCUCUUUGAGUUGAGACCAGCCUCCAAUAAGUCCCUCAACUCAACCUUAUCUCCUCUCUGUCUCAAAGGGGCCAGCUAUCGUUCACUCUUCAAUGGGAAAUUGAUAACAAGGAAGAGAGCUCUGUCUGGCCUAUUGCCUCUCUGCCCUUUCCUUGCUGUGUGACCUUGGGUAAAUCCCUGCACUUCCCUGGGCCUCAGCUGCCUCAUCUGAAAAGUAUGGAGUGGGUUUAAGUUUCCCCAAGGGAAACUCUGACUCUGCCUCUCUCUGACUCUAUUUGAAAUCAGACUCUUGUCUCUUCUAGGUUGUUUUGGUAUGGUGGAGGGGACCCUCAUCCUGGAAGUCACUGCUCCCCUCCAAUAAUAAUGAUGGCCCCUGCCAUCUGAAAUUUGUAAUUUUCCAAGCUCUGUCACACCUGGUCAUUUUCUGUCUUCACGUCACUUCUGGGAUAGAGGAUAGAGUUUUUUAUUCCCAAAUCACAGAUGGGGAAGCUGAUGGAGAGGAGGAGAGACUCAGGUCACAGGCUCCCAGCGCCCUGCAGCUUGGCCUUGAGAUGGGCUAGAUGGGGCCUUUGGACCAGGAAUCCCCUUGGUGGGGAGGGAGGGUGUUUAAGGACCUACGCUAGGCCUCCACCCAAUGGGAAGCCCACCCAAUCGGAGAUUGGCUUGGCUGCUUACGGUACUUCAUGAGUGCUCCCCCCACCAGCCCCUUCUGAUUCAGGAUGAGACAAAGGCAUCUUCUAGGCACAGAGAGGGCCUGGGUGUUUUUAACCCUCAGAAUAUUCAUCUAGAAGGGGUCUGGAAGCACUGGGUGCCAGGGCGGAGAGCAACACCAAGCCGGGCCCAAUGCAGGCACCCUUACAGAUGUGACAGGUGGCCCUCAGCGAGUUGCUGUUUUCCUUUGGGCCUCAGGCUCGUCACCUAUGAAAGGGGAAUGAAAACAAUAACCCAUCUACCCAGUGAGUUGUGGUGACCCAGCAAUAUCAGGGCUGUAGAAUCCCUUGGGGAAAUGAAGAUAGGAAGAUUGUGAUGGUCACAGUCAAGGCCAAUGAUGGGCCUCAGGCACUUAAGAGGGAGAAAGAUGAGGAGUGAGAGGACUCCAAGAAGCAAUGAGCUCCGGACAGGAGCUGUCUUAGGGGGAGUCUGGCUCCUAACUCCAUUCCAAAGUCAAAUAGAAUUGACCCAAGAUUGUCCCCUUUCCUGUAUAAUUAGGCCUCAAGUGCACAGAAUUGGAUUAUUUGUAACCUUUUGUUCAUGACACAUUCUCACCAGAUAGUUAAUUGAUUCCCAUCAAAAAACAAAACAACUAGGGCCUUUACAAUGUUCUGUAUCUCAUUAUAUAGUUCUCCCAUCACUCAUUCUCCUGCUGCUAUCCCGCCACCCACGAUAACCAUCACCUCCUGUGUUCAGCAUUCCCUUGCUUUCCUUUUUAUAUAGUUUUAUUGCAUCUGUG